CCCCCCCCCCGUCUUUCCCCACUCCUCUCCCUGCAGCAGAAGCGUCGUUUGUCAACUGGACAGUGUGGUCUGCCGAGGACACGCCCCCUGGGGCUGAAGAUCUGAAGAUGCUAUGGAGAUGCCUGCUGAAAUGCUGAAGACUCCCACCACAGAAAAGAGUCUGGUGACCUCUUAGUCUUUCUCUCUCUCUCUCUCUCUCUCUCUCUAACUCUCCUUCUCUCACCCUCUCUCCUGUCUCUAUCUCAUGCCCUUACCAGCUUGCGUUCGCGUACGAAAGUGCCUCUUCCACAGCUGAGCCUGUAUAAGCUAAACUCUGUCCAACCCACACUGACAUGAUCUGCCUCCCCUAGUUGUGUAAUAGGCUAACACACAAAUGAUAAGAUUCAUGUAAUAGUGCAGAUAUUUUAAACAUAUUUAUUGUGUUACUGGAAAUAGGAAGCAAAGGGUUAUCCGCUGCUGUUCUGGCUACUGGAUGCAUCUACUUUAAUGUAACCAAAGACCUCUGUCUUAUUUGGUUUCAGUUUUCAUUGUGAUCAGGAGUGGUUCAGUGGGGUGGGCUGAUGUGCAUCAGGGCAAGGCACGUAACACACCUGAGAGCAAAAAUGCUGACUGAUCACCAGAGCAGUUCCCGCUGUUCAGUCUUGUUGCCAGGAUAUUUUUCAGCAGGUGUCAGCAAGUUUGCCAUCAAAGCCACUGAUGUUGAAUAAGAUAUUUGUGCAAACUGAAAAUUGCUCUUUUGUUUCUAAAAAGUGAGAUAAAUGUAAGGAAUGUAUGGAAUCACACAGCUCUGGUCAUCAGGUGCACUCAUGCCACCUGGCCGAGCUUUUCCAGGGUGCUGUGCGGCCUACUUCCUGUCAGGACAGGAAGUUGUAAACUGCCUGAAGGCUGUCUCUGUGCCCACACCUAACUGCCUUUUCUCAUGCUGGACUGUCCAUGGGUUGAGGCUUUCCCUACCGCAGCAAACGACAACUAAACUAUAUAAAUGCAGUCCAUUUACCAUUUAAACUAGUGUACAUUUUUAUUAAGGCUUAUUCCACUGUUUCAACUUGUUUUCAUUUAGUUUUUUUACGACUCCUGUAAUUUUUGCCCCAUUCAUUCAUCUUCGAUGUGAAAAAGGUUUUUUUUCCAUUUUAUAUUCACAUUAGGGAUUAUUUGUUUUUUUUUUUUGUUUUUUGGAAUAUCUGACUCCACAUCAAAGAGACUGAGUUGCUGUCCGCAGUGCAGUGCAGUUGUCCGUGUCAUGGAAAUGCGAAAACAGAUGCUACACUCCGGUCCCCUUGCUAUUUUAGCCGUGAACUCCAUAUAGUUCCUUUUGCAGUGAAGCCAACGAUAUGCAACAUAAAAAUAUACGAAGGGGAUGUGUGUGGCUGCGACGUUCAGUCCACACGAACGCGUUGGGUAGUAGGGGUUAGUUAAUGGUGGACGGUCGCAGGGGAUGUAGCUCACAGUGACCCUGAGGAAUCCUCCCGAUGAUGUCAUCUAAUUGGAAGGCUCGAUGUGGUCAAACAUCUGCCCACCAGGCUCAACACUAACCUCGGCUAGGCCUGUUACGUGUGCAGUCUCAACUGGAAAUAAAAAAAAAAAAUCUCCAGUGCAACAUUGCCGCACCAGAUGGCCCCCCAGUCCAGGAUUAUAGAGCAGAUUUGCGUAAGAAGUAAAAAAAAAAAAAAAAUUAAUUUGCCAGUAGGCCAUAAUCCAGACAUGAUGAGCACAGGGGGAGGCGUAAGCAGACGUCACUGAUGAUGUCAGAAGGAAUUCGCUCUUCGCGGUGAUGUAGAGCACGGCUGGAUUCGUCUGACUGCGGUUAUGCAAGCCCCUCCCCCUCCCCAGAGUUUUUGAUUGAGGAGAUUUUUUGAUAUUCUCCCUCAGCUCAGGGGUAUGACGUCUGUUAGUUCAGUCUGCGAGAAGUAGACCGUAAUCCUCCUUCUGUCACCAGACGAUACCGUAACUGUGAUGUCACGGUACCAGCAGGCCAGGUGUGUGUACAGGGCAGGGGUACUGGACUCUGUGUGGAGCUGGGCUCAGAUUGACUCUGUGUUGUGGUCUUAAGGGAUCUGAUCUGUGAAGAGAGGUCGGUUUGGUGCCUGCCAUUUGCUGCUGGUGUGAAAUCCUAGUCUGCCACUACAGGUAUUUGUCAGGCAUACCAUAUGUCAUGUUCUUUCAUAUGCAGUUAACUGCUUAGGAAUGCUGCUCAGAUCCAGUCCACGGUGCACUUUGUUUAAUUUUUUGGUUUUUGUUUUGUUUUUUUAUUGGCGAUGUAAGCUUUUUUUCCCCCGUUCUGGCAGAAUAUUCUUCUUUAAGCCACCCCUGAACUCUUGACAAUGAAGAUAUAUCAGGGAAAAACCAACUCUUAUUACAUUAUUAUUAUACUCAAAAAAAGGACCAUUUACACCUCCGUCAGACUUUCAAUCAGGACUGAAUAAAUGUAGCCAAGAUCUGGAUUUGCUCUAGCAAGAAAUGUCAGUGUAACGUCUGACCGAUAUACUCUAGUUUUGUAAACUGUAAACUGGUGAAGACCUGCCAGAGCAGUAUAUCAACCGGAUGCACCAAAUUCACAGGUGUAUCCAGUGUCUCCGUAGAAAGAACGUAAAACACUCUUAUGAAGUCAUCCUACCUGCAGUCUCCUUCCCAUCCUGUAAUUGAUUCACUAAAAUAUUUUAAUGGCAUAAUUUUCCAUCUCUGAGCUUGAAGGUCACUACGCUAAUUACUUUUAUUGUAUUACAACUUGCCUCUUUUUGAGGUCUGCUUUUCAAUACAUUAGAAUAAAUAAUUUACUGGGACUUAAAUACUUGAAAUAUGUUUUUAAACUGCUGAACCACAGUUUCAGUUUUUAAUCUACACUGUAGAUACCAGAAUGCCUGUAGGUUGUAAAAAAAUUAUAACUUUUACUUGUCCACUAGCUGUAUGCUGUCCAUGUUUCAUUUUUAGCAUUUUUCUUGUUUUGCUGAAGUGUUUGUGUAGCAUUUUUUAAAUUGUAUGUCAUACAUUUUGUAUGCUGUAAGAAUGUUGUGAUUAUUAUUAUUAUUAUUAUUAUUAUUAUUAUUGUUAUCAUCAAUCAUGCAUUGUGUAUUUAAGAAUUGUUUAAGAACCCAUAACUAAAAGAACCAACAACUUAAUUUAUUUAUGUUAAUUCAUUCAAAUUUACUUGAACAUUGCAGUAUGUUGAUAUUAUGUUUAUUUUUUUGUUUGAUUGUUUUUUAAAAAUCCUUGUUCCUUUGUUGCAUUAUGCUUGAUUGGCGAUGUGGUGUACUGACUUGUGUCCUCCUUUUUCAAUAUGAUGGUUCCCUCCUUGCACUGGCUUCGCUCGAACCGCCUUCUGUAAUGGAAGACAUGUAAUGGCUUUGUGGCACAAGUGACAAUGAAUAAUUAAAUGAGGAAAAAAAUAAAAUUUGAAUGAAGAUUUUAAAUACAA